GUGGGGAAUAUUGGGCAAUGGGGGCAACCCUGACCCAGCGACGCCGCGUGAGGGAAGAAGGCCUUAGGGUCGUAAACCUCUGUUGUGUGGGAAGAAGGAAGUGACGGUACCACACGAGGAAGUCCCGGCUAACUACGUGCCAGCAGCCGCGGUAAUACGUAGGGGACGAGCGUUGUCCGGAAUUACUGGGCGUAAAGGGCGCGUAGGCGGUCAUUUAAGUCAGCUGUGAAAUGGUCCGGCUCAACCGGAUCAUGCGGUUGAAACUGGAUGACUGCAGUGCUGGAGAGGCAAGUGUAAUUCCCAGUGUAGCGGUGAAAUGCGUAGAUAUUGGGAAGAACACCGGUGGCGAAGGCGACUUGCUGGCCAGCAACUGACGCUGAGGCGCGAAAGCCAGGGGAGCAAACGGGAUUAGAAACCCGUGUAGUCC
rnacentral:rRNA from 1 species